GCGGUAUUAAUGAAGGCCUGCGCCGAAACGAUGAUGCUUCGGGGCGUAGACCUGAUCCUCUUACCGU
rfam:Branchiostoma floridae genomic scaffold BRAFLscaffold_109, whole genome shotgun sequence.